rnacentral:rRNA from 1 species
UGGGGAAUUUUGGACAAUGGGCGAAAGCCUGAUCCAGCAAUGCCGCGUGUGUGAAGAAGGCCUUCGGGUUGUAAAGCACUUUUGUCCGGAAAGAAAUCCUUGGCUCUAAUACAGUCGGGGGGUGACGGUACCGGAAGAAUAAGCACCGGCUAACUACGUGCCAGCAGCCGCGGUAAUACGUAGGGUGCAAGCGUUAAUCGGAAUUACUGGGCGUAAAGCGUGCGCAGGCGGUUUGCUAAGACCGAUGUGAAAUCCCCGGGCUCAACCUGGGAACUGCAUUGGUGACUGGCAGGCUAGAGUAUGGCAGAGGGGGGUAGAAUUCCACGUGUAGCAGUGAAAUGCGUAGAGAUGUGGAGGAAUACCGAUGGCGAAGGCAGCCCCCUGGGCCAAUACUGACGCUCAUGCACGAAAAGCGUGGGGGAGCAAACAGGAUUAGAUACCCUGGUAGUCCACGCCCUAAACGAUGUCAACUAGUUGUUGGGGAUUCAUUUCCUUAGUAACGUAGCUAACGCGUGAAGUUGACCGCCUGGGGAGUACGGUCGCAGGAUUAAAACUCAAAGGAAUUGACGGGGUCAUAGCUGUUUCCU